rnacentral:rRNA from 1 species
UACGUAGGGUGCGAGCGUUGUCCGGAAUUAUUGGGCGUAAAGAGCUUGUAGGCGGUUUGUCGCGUCUGCUGUGAAAAUCCGGGGCUCAACUCCGGACUUGCAGUGGGUACGGGCAGGCUAGAGUGUGGUAGGGGAGACUGGAAUUCCUGGUGUAGCGGUGAAAUGCGCAGAUAUCAGGAGGAACACCGGUGGCGAAGGCGGGUCUCUGGGCAACAACUGACGCUGAGGAGCGAAAGCGUGGGGAGCGAACAGG